AUUCGGUUGAGGGGUUCGGGAGUUAUGGGUCUUUGAAGUUUUGACCGACCGCACAGGUUUUCUAGCCGAAAAGAGUUCCAUAAGUUUUGGCCUUGCGGUCGGUCUCCGUUCGUGCAUAAAAACCCCACGAACCCCUUGCCAUCCACAGUAAUCUUGGUGUUCGCCUGAAUCCCCAUGAAUGCUUAAACAAAACUACCGAACGGCCGGUCGUUCGGUAGUUCCAGCACGAACUUAGGAGCUCCUGGAGGUCUCAGCGGUGUUCGCCUGUUUGCGUAUCCGUUUUUAGUUCCAUGCGUUCACAGGCAAACACCGCCGUUCGUGCGUAAGAUGGCUGCGAACACGUGUAAAGUCCCGAAAUGGCGGCCAUCUAACCUGAGCACAACGGGAUUCGUCUGAACCAUGCGAACGGCUCCACAAUCACUGGGAGGUAAAAUAGCAAUUAACU